AAAUGACUCCCGGCAACGGAUAUCUCGGCUCUCGCAUCGAUGAAGAACGUAGCGAAAUGCGAUACUUGGUGUGAAUUGCAGAAUCCCGUGAACCAUCGAGUCUUUGAACGCAAGUUGCGCCCCAAGCCUUCGGGCCGAGGGCACGUCUGCCUGGGUGUCACGC
rnacentral:rRNA from 1 species